CUCAACUUUUCUCUCCAGAGCUGGCUAUAUCCAGAAGAAAUCAGAAAAAUUAAUCCUGACACCUCUAUCUCACUGAGAGAUCUCUGUGAGGUCACAGCGCAACAGAUCAUCAAAGGAAAUGUAAUCAUGCAAGAGAAGGUUUCUUCUUUCCCUGGAUCCUGGAGAACAGUUCUGCUAUCAACUAGAAAACACCUUGAAGAACAAUGGAUCACAUCUGACUCACAAUGAUCUUUAAACCCUACUGUGAUCAUCAAUCCUAACCCCUUCUGGCUUAUCAUGUGGGGAAUAGCUAUGGCAUAAGUAUGCCUGUGAAAAGAAAUCACAUCCCUGUUGAUCAGCUUAUUACCUGCAUUCCUACAGAUCUUCAGACUCACCCCAACCUUAUCCUCUCAAGGUCAAGAAUGCUUUGCAUCUAUGUACAUAGCUAAAACAAUCUAUAUGUGUAGAUUAUGUUCAGAACUUAACUGAAAGCAUUCAUACCUUGGAGUCAGCAGCUAGGAGGACUGUACCAUCAUCCCUGAUCAAAGGCUGCUGAAUAUUCACAAGCAUUCCUGGAUCAAGAAGACCUGCUGACCUGUUGAAAACCAUAAGGCAUAUGACAGUUAAUAGUGCUUUGUAUUAAUCAGAAAAAUAUAUAAUAACCCAUGUCAGAAUAAAAGGAUUACCAAUUUUUAAAUUUACAAUUUAACGAAGCUCAGAAUUUUUUCAUCAGAAUUAUAGCCUUUCUGAAACUGCUUCCAAAAUGUAGCUUGAAAGACAGGAAUACAUUUUCAUUUCCUGUGCAAAAGCAGUGACAACUUCCCAAAGGAGAUAUCCUCUCAUUUGCUUUUGACACUGGUUUAUUCUGUCUUAUGAAAGCUGUUGUCUUCUCAUGACUUCAGAAGCCACAUGGCAGAUCUAAAGUUAUGCCUUAGAGUUGCAGAAGGCAUAACUGUGCAUUCCAAGUUAGAUGGACAGCACUAAGUAAAAAAAAGCUGAGUCAAGGAAAUACACGUUACAUUACAAAAUAGUUGU